CAUAGACUUAGUAGGGCCACUAGCUACACCUAGUCCCUCCGGUAAGCGAUACAUCCUGACCGUAGUAGACUACGUGACCAGGUACCCAGAGGCGGUAGCCCUAUCUAACAUUCAAUCGGAUACGGUAGCUAAUGCACUGGUUCAGGUUUUCUCUCGGGUAGGAUUCCCAAAGGAAAUCCUGUCUGACCGAGGCACCCAGUUUACAG